rnacentral:piRNA from 1 species
UCUGGUUCUCUCACCCUCCUGAGGAGUGGCC